rnacentral:rRNA from 1 species
UACGUAGGCAGCAAGCGUUGUUCGGAUUUACUGGGCGUAAAGGGUGUGUAGGUGGCCUGUUAAGUUCCGUGUGAAAUCUCCCGGCUCAACCGGGAGGGUGCGCGGAAAACUGGCGGGCUAGAGUACGGGAUGGGAGAGUAGAAUUCCUGGUGUAGCGGUGAAAUGCGUAGAUAUCAGGAGGAAUACCGGUGGUGUAGACGGCUCUCUGGACCGUAACUGACGCUGAGACACGAAAGCGUGGGUAGCAAACAGG